UCCCAUUUCGUCUAACGGUUAGGACAAAACCCUUUCACGGUUAAAAUGCAAGUUCAAAUCUUGUGGUGGGAA
rnacentral:tRNA from 5 species